AGGGUUUGAUCAUGGCUCAGAACGUACGCUGGCGGCACGCCUAACACAUGCAAGUCGAACGAAGUAGCAAUACUUAGUGGCAGACGGGUGAGUAACAUGUGGGUAUCUGCCCUUUGGCCUGGAAUAACACGAGGAAACUUGUGCUAAUACCGGAUAAGUCUUUACAGAGAAAGCUUUAUGCACCAUUGGAUGAGCCUGCACUUGAUUAGUUUGUUGGUGGGGUAAUGGCCUACCAAGACUGUGAUCAAUAGCUGAUUUGAGAGGAUGAUCAGCCACAUUGGGACUGAGACACGGCCCAAACUCCUACGGGAGGCAGCAGUGGGGAAUCUUGCACAAUGGAGGAAACUCUGAUGCAGCGAUGCCGCGUGAGUGAAGAAGGCCCUUGGGUUGUAAAGCUCUUUCGUCGGGGAAGAAAAUGACUGUACCCGAAUAAGAAGGUCCGGCUAACUUCGUGCCAGCCGCCGCGGUAAUAC
rnacentral:rRNA from 1 species